AUUGAACGCUGGCGGCAUGCUUUACACAUGCAAGUCGAACGGUAACAGGGAGCUUGCUCCGCUGACGAGUGGCGAACGGGUGAGUAAUGCAUCGGAACAUCGCCCAGUCAGUGGGGGAUAACUACGACGAAAGCGUAGCUAAUACCGCAUACGCCUGAGGGGGAAAGUGGGGGAUCUUAGGACCUCACGUGAUUGGAGUGGCCGAUGUCAGAUUAGCUAGUUGGUGAGGUAAAGGCUCACCAAGGCGACGAUCUGUAGCGGGUCUGAGAGGAUGAUCCGCCACACUGGGACUGAGACACGGCCCAGACUCCUACGGGAGGCAGCAGUGGGGAAUUUUGGACAAUGGGCGCAAGCCUGAUCCAGCCAUGCCGCGUGAGUGAAGAAGGCCUUCGGGUUGUAAAGCUCUUUCGCAAGGGAAGAAAACGGCAAGGUUAAUACCUUUGUCGGCUGACGGUACCUUGACAAGAAGCACCGGCUAACUACGUG
rnacentral:rRNA from 1 species